GACUUGUGUGCGCCGGAUGUGGCGAUCUGCGGUCAAAAGGCCGUCGUGAUUGGCCCGUCCUGGUGCCGUAAAAUUUGCAACUGGGUCGCCGCUGGUCUUAACUGGUCGGCGGCGUCUGCUCGGUUGCUCGUUUACUGUGAGAAAAUUGGAGUGUUCAAGGCAGGCAUGAUUGCAACUGAACAUGUUAGCAUGGAAUAAUAAGAUAGGGCUUUCGCUUUAUUUUGUUGGUUUCUAGAGUGGAAGUAAUGAUUGAUAGGGACAGUUGGGGGUGCUAGUAUUCAGCGGCCAGAGGUGAAAUUCAUGGAUUCGCUGAAGACUAACUUAUGCGAAAGCAUU
rnacentral:rRNA from 1 species